rfam:Pteropus alecto contig57211, whole genome shotgun sequence.
GGCUUCAUACUGUAGUGGUUAGCACGUCUGGUUUACAUGCAGAAAGUCCUGGGUCCGCGCCCCAGGUGGAGCCA